rnacentral:rRNA from 1 species
GACGAACGCUGGCGGCGUGCCUAAUACAUGCAAGUCGAACGCUGAAGGAGGAGCUUGCUUCUCUGGAUGAGUUGCGAACGGGUGAGUAACGCGUAGGUAACCUGCCUGGUAGCGGGGGAUAACUAUUGGAAACGAUAGCUAAUACCGCAUAAGAGUAGAUGUUGCAUGACAUUUGCUUAAAAGGUGCAAUUGCAUCACUACCAGAUGGACCUGCGUUGUAUUAGCUAGUUGGUGGGGUAACGGCUCACCAAGGCGACGAUACAUAGCCGACCUGAGAGGGUGAUCGGCCACACUGGGACUGAGACACGGCCCAGACUCCUACGGGAGGCAGCAGUAGGGAAUCUUCGGCAAUGGACGGAAGUCUGACCGAGCAACGCCGCGUGAGUGAAGAAGGUUUUCGGAUCGUAAAGCUCGGUUGUAAGAGAAGAACGAGUGUGAGAGUGGAAAGUUCACACUGUGACGGUAUCUUACCAGAAAGGGACGGCUAACUACGUG